GGCGAAACUAAGGUACAAGGAGUCAUUUAGUCGUCUCAUUUCGUACCGAAAACAUGGAUCGUGUUGCGUCAGACAUAUCAUUGCUUGGACUUCUUUGUCUUCUUUGGGAAUGCUCCAACGGUAGCUCAAAAGACAAGAAUAUUUUUCACAACCUCCAUUUCCACCAUUGGAUUUUCAACGGUUCCUGCCUGAUGUUAGUCUUUCUAAUGAUAUUUGCUGAGAUAGUGCAAUAUCGAUGGCAACGUUUUCCGUUUGUCCGCUUCUAAUGGUGAGUCGCAUGCAUUUUUGUCCCUCCGGUCACUCAAUAAUGUCGUAGGAUGAAAGGUCCGAAUCGGCACGGCUGACUGGUUGUAUUAUGUAGAAUUUUUUGCGAGCGUAGUGAUCACGGGUAUUUUUUAUACCCGAGAGUAGUAACAUUUUUUUCACAUC